rnacentral:tRNA from 1 species
UUCCCCGAUAGCUCAACUGGUAGAGCGAGCGGCUGUUAACCGCUAGGUUGUAGGUUCGAGUCCUACUCGGGGAGA